UUAACUAAAAAUUGUAUGGAGUUGAAACGUUUGCCUACGUUUGCCGCUUGGGGCGCUGUUCCAACUGAAAUUUGAGUUA
rnacentral:pre_miRNA from 1 species